rnacentral:misc_RNA from 1 species
GCGGUAAUGAGGAAGUAAGAGAGCUAAAUAUUGAAGCGACUCUGCUAUUCAAGUACUACUACUCAAAGCCUCAGUGUGAGAUCUGGUGUCAAAUUGUCCUUUUCAACAGAGGGAGUCCACUCUACAGAAUUCACAUUCGAACAACCAGUAAAACUAAUAGUAGGACGAUGAGAGAUGUCAGCAUUACUUACUUGACGAAAACUGCCAGGCCAUAAUAAGUGAUCAGCCUCAUCGAUAUCCUCAACGUAUAAAGACGGACUCUGAUGGUGUACAUAUUCAAAUCUGGCGCUCGUCCUGAAAUCAAGUGAUCCCAUUGCUUGAGGAAAUCCGUGGUGCAUUGAGGAAUGUGCUUUGAUUCCCAAGGACCGGGAAGUAGACCCGUGCAAUGGCAGAGCAGCCAAAUUACCAUACCUUUCUGAAAAGAUCCCCAUUCUCAUAGCUCGUUUUGCUAACGUUCUCUCACGUUUAUGAGCAUUCUGGUGACCGCCCAGUGCCUGUGAACUAUAGAAUUUACGCUUGCAGAAAUUGCAAGUGAAAACUCUUCUAACUACUGCUUCCCCUGAAGUUUGUGAUGCUGCAAGUUCAUUGCUGCUUUCAUCACACGUGCUUGAUACUGAAAAUCCUAUCGAAUCUUGGCUGGCAAAUUCAUCGGUACCAGAAUUAAACCCGAGAGACAAGUCAAG